rfam:Erinaceus europaeus unplaced genomic scaffold scaffold01104, whole genome shotgun sequence
GGAUGUGAGGGCGAUCUGGCUGUGACAUCUGUCACCCCAUUGAUCGACAGGGUUGAUUCAGAUGAUCUGGCUGGCUAGGUGGGUGUCCCCUUCCUCCCUCACCGCUCCAUGUACGUCCCUCCCGUAGCUGCGCAUUCGGUCGAAGACAACGGCCUUCCCCGAAUAGAGACUCACUGGUCUUCGGUCAAGGAUAUACAAGUAGCUGGACUCCCCUGCUAGAACCUCCAAACAAGCUCUCAAAAUAAAGAAAAGAUUUUCUAAAAAAAAAGAAUGAAGAAUUCUUAUCAAAAUCAGGAAAAAUAUUAAGCACACAAUAAGACACAUCAGAUGUCCUGUAUACCUAACUUCAUC